GUUGCUGCCUAGAGAAAGUGCCUUUGGCAUUUGUCAGGGUCACAGGGCAGAGGCAGCUCCAGGGGGGAUCUCUGACCCUUCCCAAGCAGUGAAAGUUGGGAAGUGUCUCCCCCCGCAGCUGUGGCUUCCAGCAGAGACCGGAGACUAGAACCAGCAGCACUUACAGAGAUUUAUAGCCCAUGGAAAAGAGCUUCUCAGCUCACAUGUUUACUUCGGAGAACUCUGUGGAGGCAUCAAGGGCCAGGGUCAACAUACACCACUGCAGCUUUGUCUCUCAAGCGUUUCGGGCCAUGUUAUGUGUUUGGAAGACAACAAUGGGGCAUUUCAUCUUCUAUCACCCAUCUCUGCUCCAAGCAUCUCAGCCACCUACAAAAAGACUCACUUCAACUCCCAGAGACUGCGUGCUGAAUUUCAUGAUGAACUCAAAUGCUUUCUUCCCAGCCUUUCCCUUCAUUCUCACAGUGUGGCCCCGCCUGCGCAUAUUGUCAUUUAGCACGGAUCAAAGCCUUACACUGAGAGGAUGGAGUCUUUGGAGACAGUGAAAUCUCAAACAUCUGCCAGUGGGUAGAUAAGGAGGCGGGGGCAUCAGGGUGCACCCCGCAAAUCACAUCACAUGUAACUAUUGGGGUCAGGAAAGUUAAACCUCUCACUACAACAAAUCACUACCAUAAAAUAUCAGUGAACUUUCACAAGGAAAAUCAGGGCAAGGUGAUCUAUGUCAGCUACGCCUGUCUGUUUCCUCUAAUGAAAUUUUGACUGGUUCUUUUCAGUUGCUAAUGAACUUCAGAGACUCUCCAUUCUACUUUAUCUCUAGGUCUUAACAUUGAAAAUAGCGUAAUCAUUUUAAUAAAAUGUUAUCAUUGCAGAUCUAUUUUAAUAUUUUAUAGCAUGAUUCAUUAAUUCAUCAAAUAUUUAUUGUAGAGUUACUGCAUGCUCUGAGAAAUACAAAGAUGAACUUAAGAUCUAGUGUACUGGGAGAGUUUGCCAAACUGUAAUUCUGAUCUACUAUCAUUGGCUGUAGAGCUGAAUAUCACACAGGACUGAGUUUCAUAAUACGGGGUUAUAAGUGAUACUUACGGAGAGAGAUGGAGGGGUCAUUGGGAGAGCUCAGUUUACCACAGCAACCCUAGAGCUGACAUAUAGUGAUCAUGCAAUCAGCAUUCAUUACGUAAAUAAGCAGCCAGAAGAAAGACACAUGAGAAAGAUCUUGGAAGUAUGGUUUUAAUAAAUAGAUCAGGAAGCUGGGUAGAAGAAAUGGUGUAUACAGAGAUGCAGAAGGAAAAAGCUGAGCAGUGCGCUUGAGCUACUAGCUGCCACGCAAGCACAGAAGGGCUGACCCCAAACCACCUUUCCAGCACCCUGUCCCCUAGUUGUCUUGUGACCAUUUCUUUGCUCCAUAAACUUCCUUCUCCUCCAUACUUUAUUAUUCAAACAGUGCUUUCACUCAUAUCUGUGAGCCAAGCUUGAGAUCACGGGCAGUUUUUACUUUUCCCUUUCCCUCCCUUGACAUCUGGUCAGAACAAAGCCUGAAUAACAUACUCCUGAAGUUCUUCUUGGUAUCCAUCUCAUCCUCCUAAAACUUUCCUUCAAAAAACACUGAAAGUUCCCAUUGCCACCAGUCUUGUUUGAGAUCCAUCUUUUCUCAUUGGAUGUAUGAAAGGCCUUCUUAAUUUCUCUUCUUACAUCCCAAGUUUCCCCAUAGGCCAUGCUCAGUACAACUCCCAGUCCAGUUCUCUUGAAGCAGAGCCCUGGUACUAACAUGUUCCCGUUCAAGAAUUGUUAAUGCUUUCCAAUUAUAUGAGGAUUAAAGUCAAGGCUGUGAGCCCAGCAGAAGCUCAUGGACAUUAUGACAGAAUGUGAGCCAUUAUAGGAAUUUCUUCAGGUGAUUCACAUGGUUAAAAUUACAUUUUGAAAGUAUCCUGUGAAAUAAAAAAUGGAAGUUAAGGCAAGCGUGCAGGUCAGAAAAUGACUUUGGAGGCUUGAGAAAACCAGGCUAGAGGAGAUAAUAUUCUGUACCACAAAACAUUAGUGGAGGUAGAGAGAAGUAGAUAAGUAGGAGUGCUAUUCAAAAGUGGGAUUGACUGCUCUUAGUGAUGGGUUGAAUACGGGGGGAAAGGAAUUGGGAGUGGGGAUGCUGCCCAGUUUUCUGAGUAGAUGACAUUUUGUUUGCCAAGAUAAAAAAAAAAAGACAAAAGAAGAAUCAGCUCUUCUUGGAAGUAGGUAUGGACUGGGGAUGAGGAAGAAUGUUGAAGUCAGGUUUGGGCACGUUGAAUUUAGGACGUGUGGAUGGAGAUGUUCAGGGACCCCUGGCCUUGUAAGACAGGGAGCUCAGAAGAUAUGUUUGAGCUUGUAUGAAUCAACAUUUGUUGUGUGACAAGCCACCCAAGAAGUUAGUGUCUUAAAAACAGCAUGUUUUAUUAUUGCUCAUAACUUCAAGUCAUCUAGAUGUUUCUGUGGAUCUGGACCAGGCUGGCUAAUCUGGGCUAAGCUAGUUUAUGAACCUACCAGUUAACUGAUAGAUCACCAGAGGACCAGCUGUUUUCAGAGGGCCUUGUAGACAGAAAGGGUGAAGGAGGUGUCUUUGAUCAUCAGCUCAGCCCAGUUUGUUCACUGGGCUAGGAUAAGGGGUUCCAAGAUCAAAAGCAUAUAUGUGCAAAACAUCUUGAGGUACAAGCUUAAGACUGGCACAGCAUCACUUCUGCAUUUUGUUCUCCAUAGCAAGUCCCAAAGGCAGCCAGAUUCAAUGGUUGGAGAAAUCAACUCCACCUCUUGACAGGAGGAGCAAUAAAUAUUUCUGGACAGGCUUUGCAAUGUACCACAGAGCUGAAGAACAGAGAUGGAAGUUAUCAAAAGAUCAAUAACAGAAGUAGGUACAAUUUCCCAGGGAAAUGGGUAGGGUGAGAAGAGAAGAGAGCCCAGAGCAGAAUCUGGAACCCCACAAACACUAUGACACAGAUUGUAGAAGAUUCCAUGAAAUAAACAGAAGUAGCACCCAGGGUUAUAGGAGGUAACUAGAAGAUGGCUGAGUCAUAGCAAAGAAGAUGAUGUUCUAAGAAGGAAAGUGUUAUGGUUUGAAUGUGGUUUGUCCCCUCCAAAACUUAUGUUAAAAUUGAUUGCCAAAAAAAUUGCCAAGGUAACCACGUUGGGAGAUGGGGCCUUCAAGAGGUGAUUAGGCCAGCAAGAUGAAUUAAUGUCUUUCUCACAAAAUCAGGUUAGUUCUCCAGAGAGUAUGUUUUUAUAAAGCAAGGUCAUGCCUCAUGUUUUGUCCUUUUUGCAUGUACACUUCCUGUUUUGCCUCUUUGCUAUGUUGUGAUGGUAUACAAGACCCUCACCAGAAGUGGACCAGAUGCAGCUGUCUGAUCUUGCACUUCCCAGCCUCCAGAAUCAAGAGCCAAAUGAACCUCUUUCUUUAUAAAUUACCCAGUCUCAGGCAUCAUGUUAUAGCAACAGAAAAUGAACUAAGAUUGAAGGUAUGUAAUAAAUGCCAAGAGAAAAGUACUAAUCAGGCCAAGUACAGUUUCAGCAAGGUGCUUAAAAACAAAAAACAAAAAAAACCACCUAAUAUCUGAAUAACACUUAUGUAGCUGGAUAACAUUUAGAAAUUAAUUUCUGGGGUUUCCCCAUGUAUUUUCUCUUUUUCUUUCUUCUGUACUACUACUACUGGGGUCUUUCUGCCCUCCCCAGCUACUUAAAAAGGAAGAAAACUCUAUGCUUUAUUGCUUCAUGGGUGGUCUGUGGCAGGCUGGAGGGCUCACUGUGCUUGCAAGAUGUCUCCAUCUUGUUUUCAAUAGGCUAAGCUCAGAGGAGAAAAGAGCAUUGGCAGAGCAAUAGAAGAGAACCAGGACUUGGAAGAAGCAGGAGGCAGAGAGGUGCUUGAUCCUGAUUUUAAUAAAAAAGAGAGAGACAUUUCCUAAGACUAGAGAGGAGUGAGGCAUGUGGAUGACAGAACAAUGGUAUGCCUAUCUUCUGCCUUCCCGGGGGUGACGCCUCAUAGAAAGAAUUGGCAAAAAUGGGAUCAUAAGGACAGUGGUUGCCAACUUCUCCCAAGAUUCUAUAUUCAAAAAGGAAUCUGACCUUGAGAGCUGAGGGUGGGAGAGACAAUGGCUCCACCAGCAGGUACUUGGCUGAGCAGAUUGUAAUGACCAGGGGCCACCAUCAGCACAUUGGCUCAUCAUGUGGGCUCAGAACCUUUAAAAGACCCUGAGGGACUUUAUGUCCCAAAUAGAGUAUGUGAGAUGGAAUUACAAACUAAUGAGAGGCUAAUUUAUUCACAAAUAAAGAAAUGUGCUGUUUCCCAAACAUGUAGGUUUGUGGAAUGAGAGUCACCCUUGCCGUGUCCACUAUGUGCAAGGCAAUGUGUUAAUGUUUUCAGUUCAUUACCUUACUGAAUCUUCCCAGUAGUACUGUAAAUUCUGUUCUGUAAUUAUUCUGACUUCAUACAUAAGGAAACUGAAGAGCAGAAAAAUCUAGUCAGUUUUAUGGGCUCAAACUAAUAUAUGCGAAAGCAUGAAGUUGAACCCAGAUAAGCUAAUGUCAGAGCCCUGUCUCUCAACCACCAUGCCAUUCUGGUCCUGAUUAUUUAAAGCAUUUAUCCAAAUAAUGCAGGCAAAAUAAGAGGAAAUAAUAAUCAAAGUUCAUAUGUGUGCACACAGACACACACAUGAACACACACAAAACUUCAGUAAUUGUACUAUCCUCUUUUUUCUGGAAUUUGGUGGGAUGUUUCUGUACCUCCUAGGAAAUGGCCCAGUCCACCUAUUCUCUUGACUUGGCCUAGAAAGAGAUAACCAGGGAAAUAACAAUAAUAAUGACAACAAUAAUAAUGGCAGACUUGCAGGUAAAAGAAGGUGUAACAAUCCCAGCACUUUAGGAGGCCAAGGCAGGAGGAUCAUGAGGUCAGGAGAUCAAGACCAUCCUGGCUAACACAGUGAAAGCCCAUCUCUACUAAAACUACAAAAAUUAGCCAAGCGUUAUGGCACACGCCUUUAGUCCCAGCUACUCAGGAGGCUGAGGGAGGAGAAUCACUUGAACCCGGGAGUUGGAGGUUGCAGUGGGUUGAGAUUGUGACACUGCACUGCAUCCUGGACAACAGAGCGAGACUCCAUCUCAGAAAAAAAAAAAAAAGAAGUUCUGACAAGGAAAAUGAUGAGAAAUGAUCAUUCAUUUCCUCUGCUAAUACUUAGGAAUAGGUUAACAGCAGUCAGUUGGACUCUCUUUUAGUGAAUAAGAAAAUAAUGGAAAGGAAUAAAUUAAGGGAGGACAGGAUAAAAAAGAAUAAUGAAGGCCGGGCCUGGUGGCUCACGCCUGUAAUCCUAGCACUUUGGGAGG
rnacentral:lncRNA from 1 species